CUACGGGGGGCUCCAGUGAGGAAUAUUGCACAAUGGGGGGAACCCUGAUGCAGCAACGCCGCGUGGAGGAUGACGCAUUUCGGUGUGUAAACUCCUUUUAUAUGUCAAGAAAAUGACGGUAGCAUAUGAAUAAGCACCGGCUAACUCCGUGCCAGCAGCCGCGGUAAUACGGAGGGUGCAAGCGUUACUCGGAAUCACUGGGCGUAAAGGACGCGUAGGCGGGUUGGAAAGUCAGGUGUGAAAUCCUACAGCUUAACUGUAGAACCGCACUUGAAACUUCUAAUCUAGAGUAUGGGAGGGGGAGAUGGAAUUAGUGGUGUAGGGAUAAAAUCCGUAGAUAUCACUAGGAAUACCUAAAGCGAAGGCGAUCUCCUGGAACAUUACUGACGCUAAGGCGUGAAAGCGUGGGGAGCAAACAGGAUUAGAUACCCCGGUAGUC
rnacentral:rRNA from 1 species